GUGACGGGGAGUCCGUUUCUACACAGGGAGGUAGUACCAGGAUAAAUCUACGCUAAUUCUGGCCACUGUGGUCCCAAUGGAGACAUUCGGUUUUGUGGCUCAUUGGGAAGCAGGCACAGCAGAGGUUUGGGGUUUAAUCCCUAACAAGGACGCCCUUGUGGCGAUAUGAACGCCCUUGGGGCAAAAUGUUGAAAGACUCGAUCUUGAGAUGCCAGCCAUGCUGACCAGUGUGGAGGCUACGACGACAGCGGUUAGAGAAAGGCUCUAACAGUCAUUCCAUACAUGCAGUAUAGCCACUGCUAACUAAAG